UUUGAUCCUGGCUCAGAAUGAACGACUGGCGGCGUGGCUUAACACAUGCAAGUCGAACGAGAAAGGGGGAUUCGUCCCCCGAGUAAAGUGGCGCACGGGUGAGUAACGCGUAGGUAACCUGCCCAUGUGUUCGGGAUAACACUUCGAAAGGGGUGCUAAUACCGGAUGCGAUCGGAGGCCGAGAGGUUUCCGAUGAAAGUCUGCCACUCUAUAGAAGCAGACGCACAUGGAGGGGCCUGCGUCCUAUCAGCUAGUUGGUGGGGUAACGGCCUACCAAGGCGACGACGGGUAGCUGGUCUGAGAGGAUGAUCAGCCACACUGGCACUGGAACACGGGCCAGACUCCUACGGGAGGCAGCAGUGAGGAAUUUUGCGCAAUGGCCGCAAGGCUGACGCAGCAACGCCGCGUGGGUGAUGAAGGCCUUCGGGUCGUAAAGCCCUGUCAGGUGGGAAGAACAGCAUUUUCUCGAAUAGGGGGGAUGUUUGACGGUACCACCAGAGGAAGCACCGGCUAACUCCGUGCCAGCAGCCGCGGUAA
rnacentral:rRNA from 1 species